GACGAACGCUGGCGGCGUGCCUAACACAUGCAAGUCGAGCGGGGUCCAUCCGGUAGCAAUACCGGGGAAGACCUAGCGGCGAACGGGUGAGUAACACGUGAGAAACCUGCCCCGAAGUCUGGGAUAACCCGAGGAAACUCGAGCUAAUACCGGAUGUCUUCUUCUGAUCGCAUGGUCGGAUGAAGAAAGAUUUAUCGCUUCGGGAGGGUCUCGCGGCCUAUCAGCUAGUUGGCGGGGUAACGGCCCACCAAGGCGUCGACGGGUAGCUGGUCUGAGAGGACGAUCAGCCACACUGGGACUGAGACACGGCCCAGACUCCUACGGGAGGCAGCAGUGGGGAAUAUUGCGCAAUGGGCGAAAGCCUGACGCAGCAACGCCGCGUGCGGGAUGAAGGCCUUC
rnacentral:rRNA from 1 species